UACGAAGGGGGCUAGCGUUGCUCGGAAUCACUGGGCGUAAAGGGUGCGUAGGCGGGUCUUUAAGUCAGGGGUGAAAUCCUGGAGCUCAACUCCAGAACUGCCUUUGAUACUGAGGAUCUUGAGUUCGGGAGAGGUGAGUGGAACUGCGAGUGUAGAGGUGAAAUUCGUAGAUAUUCGCAAGAACACCAGUGGCGAAGGCGGCUCACUGGCCCGGAACUGACGCUGAGACGCGAAAGCAUGGGGAGCAAACAGG
rnacentral:rRNA from 1 species